AUGAAGGAAGCGUUUGGCUUUAUUGAAAGAGAUGAUGUUGUAAAAGAGAUAUUCUUUCACUAUAGUGAAUUUAAGGGUGACCUAGAAACCUUACAGCCUGGAGAUGACGUGGAAUUCACAAUCAAGGACAAAAAUGGUAAAGAAGUUGCAACAGAUGUCAGACUAUUGCCUCAAGGAACAGUCAUUUUUAAAGAUAUCAGCAUGAACAUUCUGAAGGAACUGUAACCAAAGUUAUCCCAAAAGUACCCAGUAAAAACCAGAAUGACCCAUUGCCAGGACGCAUCAAAGUUGACUUUGUGAUUCCUAAAGCACUUCCCUUUGGAGACAAAGAUACAAAAUCUAAGGUGACCCUGCUGGAAGGUGACCAUGCUAGGUUUAAUAUUUCGACAGACCGAUGUGACAAAUUAGAACGAGCAACCAAUAUAGAAGUCCUAUCAAAAACAUUUCAGUUCACUAAUGAAGCCAGAGAAAUGGGUGUGAUUGCCGCCAUGAGAGAUGGUUUUGGUUUCAUCAAGUGUGUGGAUCAUGAUGCUCGUAUGUUCUUCCACUUCAGUGAAAUUCUAGAUGGGAACCAGCUCCAUAUUGCAGAUGAAAGGGAGUUUACUCUGGUUCCUGAUAUGCUCUCUGCCCAAAGAAAUCAUGCUAUUAGGAUUAAAAAACUUCCCAAGGGCAUGGUUUCAUUCCAUUCCCAUUCAGAUCAUCGUUUUCUGGGCAGUGUAGAAAAAGAAGGCACUUUCUCCAAUCCUAAAACCACUAGCCCAAAUAAAGGCAAAGAGAAGGAGGCUGAGGAUGGCAUUAUUACUUAUGAUGAUUGUGGGGUGAAACUGACUAUCGCUUUUCAAGCCAAGGAUAUGGAAGGACCUACUUCUCAGAUAGGAGAUAAGGUUGAAUUUAGUAUUAGUGACAAACAGAGGCCUGGACAGCAAAUUGCAACUUGUGUAUGACUUUUAGGUCAUAAUUCCAACUCCAAGAGGCUCUAAAAAUUUUGGAUUUAUUGAAACAAGCCAAUCAUGAUAAGGAAAUCUUUUUCCAUUACAGUGAGUUCUCUGGUGAUGUUGAUAGCCUGGAACUAGGGGACAUGGUCGAGUACAGCUUGUCCAAAGGCAAAGGCAAUAAAGUCAGUGCAGAAAAAGUGAACAAAACACAUUCAGUGAAUGGUAUUACUGAGGAAGCUGAUCCCACCAUCUACUCUAGCAAAAUCAUUCGUUCCCUGAGGAGUGUUGAUCCAACAUAGACAGAGUACCAAGGAAUGACUGAGAUGUGGAGGAGGGGGAUAUGAAAGGUGAGGUCUAUCCAUUUGGCAUAGUUGGGAUGGCCAACGAAGGGGAUUGCCUACAGAAAGGGGAGAGUGUCAAGUUCCAGUUGUGUGUACUGGGCCAAAAGGUAUAGACUAUGGCCUACAACACCACACCCCUAUGUAGGACCACAGUGGAGUGUGUGAAAGAUCAGUUUGGCUUCAUUAACUAUGAAGUAGGAGAUAGGAAGAAGCUCUUUUUCCAUGUGAAAGAAGUUCAGGAUGGCAUUGAGCUACAGGCAGGAGAUGAGGUGGAGUUCUCAGUGAUUCUUAAUCAGCGUGGCAAGUGCAGCCCCUGUAAUGUUUGGUGAGUCUGUGAAGGCCCCAAAGCUGUUGUAGCUCCUAGACCUGAUAGGUUGGUCAAUCGCUGAAGAACAUUACCCUGGAUGAUGCCAUUGCUCCUCACCUAAUGGUUCUUCGUCAGCCAGAACCAGAUAAUUCAAUGGGAUUUGGUGUAGAAAGAAAGAUCUGUCAAGCUGGUGUCAUUGACUAACCAUAUCCACAAAGCACAUCAUUAAUCCACUAUGAUCAAGUUGGGGGGAUUCUGGUGAAGGGUUCUGAAUAUCUCCCUCUU